CAGCCGCCGCGGUAAAACGAAGGGUGCAAGCGUUAAUCGGAAUUACUGGGCGUAAAGCGUGCGUAGGCGGUGAGUUGAGUCUGCUGUGAAAUCCCCGGGCUCAACCUGGGAAUGGCAGUGGAUACUGGCUCGCUAGAGUGUGUCAGAGGAUGGUGGAAUUCCCGGUGUAGCGGUGAAAUGCGUAGAGAUCGGGAGGAACAUCAGUGGCGAAGGCGGCCAUCUGGGACAACACUGACGCUGAGGCACGAAAGCGUGGGGAGCAAACGGGAUUAGAUACCCGCGUAGUCCCUGUCUCUUAUAC
rnacentral:rRNA from 1 species